rnacentral:rRNA from 1 species
CGGCUGCUCAGUAACACGUAGUCAACUUACCCUAUGGACGAGGAUAAUCUCGGGAAACUGAGCAUAAUACUCGAUAGAUCAUAAUGCCUGGAAUGGUUUAUGGUUGAAAUGAUUCGUCGCCAUAGGAUGGGACUGCGGCCUAUCAGCUUGUUGGUGAGGUAAUGGCACACCAAGGCGAUUACAGGUACGGGCUCUGAGAGGAGAAGCCCGGAGAUGGGUACUGAGACAAGGACCCAGGCCCUAUGGGGCGCAGCAGGCGAGAAAACUUUGCAAUGUGCGAAAGCACGACAAGGUUAAUCCGAGUGAUUUCUGCUAAAGAAAUCUUUUGCAAGUCAUAAAACCACUAGUGAAUAAGGGGUGGGCAAGUUCUGGUGUCAGCCGCCGCGGUAAAACCAGCACCUCAAGUGGUCAGGAGGAUUAUUGGGCCUAAAGCAUUCGUAGCCGGCUCUGUAAGUUUUCGGUUAAAUCCAUGUGCUCAACGCAUGGGCUGCCGAAAAUACUGCAUAGCUAGGGAGUGGGAGAGGUAGACGGUACUCGGUAGGAAGGGGUAAAAUCCUUUGAUCUAUCGAUGACCACCUGUGGCGAAGGCGGUCUACCAGAACACGUUUGACGGUGAGGGAUGAAAGCUGGGGGAGCAAACCGGAUUAGAUACCCGGGUAGUCCCAGCUGUAAACGAUGCAGACUCGAUGAUGCAUUGGCAUAUAGCCAGUGCAGUGUCGCAGGGAAGCCGUUAAGUCUGCCGCCUGGGAAGUACGUACGCAAGUAUGAAACUUAAAGGAAUUGGCGGGGGAGCAG